AGUGAACGCUGGCGGCAGGCCUAACACAUGCAAGUCGAACGGCAGCACAGUAGGAGCUUGCUCUUACGGGUGGCGAGUGGCGGACGGGUGAGGAAUACAUCGGAAUCUACUUUUUCGUGGGGGAUAACGUAGGGAAACUUACGCUAAUACCGCAUACGACCUACGGGUGAAAGCAGGGGAUCUUCGGACCUUGCGCGAUUGAAUGAGCCGAUGUCGGAUUAGCUAGUUGGCGGGGUAAAGGCCCACCAAGGCGACGAUCCGUAGCUGGUCUGAGAGGAUGAUCAGCCACACUGGAACUGAGACACGGUCCAGACUCCUACGGGAGGCAGCAGUGGGGAAUAUUGGACAAUGGGCGCAAGCCUGAUCCAGCCAUACCGCGUGGGUGAAGAAGGCCUUCGGGUUGUAAGGCCCUUUUGUUGGGAAAGAAAAGCAGCAGGUUAAUACCCCGCUGUUCUGACGGUACCCAAAGAAUAAGCACCGGCUAACUUCGUG
rnacentral:rRNA from 1 species